rnacentral:rRNA from 1 species
GCGAAAGACGGGGGAGCAGCCGCGGUAAUGCGGGGGGGGCAAGGGUUAAUCGGAAUUACUGGGGGGAAAGCGUGCGCAGGCGGUUUUGUAAGGCGGUCGUGAAAUCCCCGGGCUCAACCUGGGAAUGGCGAUGGAGACUGCAAGGCUAGAGUUUGGCAGAGGGGGGUAGAAUUCCACGUGUAGCAGUGAAAUGCGUAGAUAUGUGGAGGAACACCGAUGGCGAAGGCAGCCCCCUGGGUCAAAACUGACGCUCAUGCACGAAAGCGUGGGGAGCAAACAGGAUUAGAUACCCCAGUAGUC